GACGAACGCUGGCGGCGCGCCUAACACAUGCAAGUCGAACGGAGCUUAGAGAGCUUGCUUUUUAAGCUUAGUGGCGAACGGGUGAGUAACGCGUGAGUAACCUGCCCUAGAGUGGGGGACAACAGUUGGAAACGACUGCUAAUACCGCAUAAGCCCACGGUGCCGCAUGACACUGAGGGAAAAGGACUUAUUCGCUUUAGGAUGGACUCGCGUCCAAUUAGCUAGUUGGUGAGGUAACGGCCCACCAAGGCGACGAUUGGUAGCCGGACUGAGAGGUUGAACGGCCACAUUGGGACUGAGACACGGCCCAGACUCCUACGGGAGGCAGCAGUGGGGGAUAUUGCACAAUGGGGGAAACCCUGAUGCAGCGACGCCGCGUGGAGGAAGAAGGUUUUCGGAUUGUAAACUCCUGUCGUUAGGGACG
rnacentral:rRNA from 1 species